CAGUCGCCGCGGGAAUACGUAGGUGGCAAGCGUUGUCCGGAAUUAUUGGGCGUAAAGGGCUCGCAGGCGGUUUCUUAAGUCUGAUGUGAAAGCCCCCGGCUCAACCGGGGAGGGUCAUUGGAAACUGGGAAACUUGAGUGCAGAAGAGGAGAGUGGAAUUCCACGUGUAGCGGUGAAAUGCGUAGAUAUAUGGAGGAACACCAGUGGCGAAGGUGACUCUCUGGUCUGUAACUGACGCUGAGGCUCGAAAGCGUGGGUAGCAACAGGAUUAGAUACCCCGGUAGUCCCUGUCUCUUAUACA
rnacentral:rRNA from 1 species